rnacentral:lncRNA from 1 species
AGCUCUCGUUGCCCAGGCUGGAGUGCAAUGGUGUAAUCUUGGUUCACCACAACCUCUGCCUCUCAGGUUCAAGUGAUUCUCCUGUCUCAGCCUCCCAAGUAGCUAGGAUUACAGGCAUGUGCCACCACGCCCUGCUAAUUUUGUAUUUUUAGUAGAGACGGAUGGGGUUUCACCAUGUUGGUCAAGCUGGUCUCGAACUCCUGACCUCAGGUGAUCUGCCCCUAUUAGCCUCCCAAAGUGCUGGGAUUACAGUCAUGAGCCACCGCACCUGGCCCCAAACUUUUUUUUUUUUAAGCAAAGAAAUUGUUUCCUGGAUAACCUCACAUAAAGCAUCCCAGUAUGUAAAGCAGAUAAUAGUGUUGGAAGUGACAACCUGGAAUUCUGUCCAUGGGGACUCUUCUCCUUGUACUCCCACACACAGAAACCCUUCAGCUUAUGCUUCCAACGUCAGUGUCCAAAGAAACUUUAGACAAAUCCAGCCCCUUCAUUCACAGAUGGAGACAUUAUUGUUAGUUGUAGUAAAUGUUAGCUAACUACCAGUACUUACACUUUAAACGUGCCUGGCAUAGGAGAAUGAUUUUAUAUGUCUGAUAGUAUCAAAUCCCCACAACUACCUGAUAAACUAAGUAUUAUAAUGACCCUCAUUUUGCAGGUGAGUAAACAGAAGUCUAGAGAGGUACAAUCACUUCCGAAAGUCACCCAGCUGGUAAGUGGUGAAGGCAGAAUUCAGAGCCCAGUGUGGCUGACUCAAUAGCCUGUGCCAUCCACCCCUACAUGAGUUGCCCAGGGAGGUUAGAGACUGUCCCACAGUCUCAUAGGAGCUGAGCAGGGACAACGAGGUGGCCUGGUGUGGAGGGAAGGUCACGGGUGUGUGGGGCUGGAGCUCUGGGUCCAAGAUGUUCAUCAGCUGCCUGUCCUGGCUGGUAAGAGACUGAGGGUGAGUGGUCAGUGAGCAUGAGAGGGGGAAGGGAGCCUUGGGAGACCACACUGGAGAACCUGGAACUAGGGAGCUAUAGCAGGUGUCUGAGCUAGAGAAUUAAUCCUACUGUUGGCUGCACAUCAAUAUUGGGACAAUAGGCCCAGAUGUGUCAUUCCUAAUAAUCACAAUGGGGCAGGAUGGUGCUCAAAGCACUUUACUGGCAUGAUCUUAAUCAUCACAAAGCCUCUAUGAGAGAGGUGAUGUCAUGAUACCCAUUUUACAGAUGAGGUCGCUGGGGGCUCAGGGAAGUGAAGUGCUUUGUCCAGGGUCACGUGGCUGAAGAGUGGGGGAGCUGACACUUGAAGCCAAGACUGGCUGACUUUCAAGCCCACAUGCCUCUGUCAGUUAAGUGUGGUGAUGGUAAUGCUGUGUAACAAACAAUCCCCCAAAUCUCUGUGCUGUAGGACAGAUCACCCACUCUAGGGAAGCCAGCUGCCAUGUCGUGGGGAUAUUCAAGCAGCCCAGUGGAGAGACCCAUGUGGUGAGGACCUGUGAUCUCCAGCCAGCAGCUGUGUGAGUGGCCUAUCUUGGAAGCAGCUCCUCCAGCCCCAGUUCAGUCUUCAGAUGAGACUGCAGCUGCAGCUGACAUCCUGACUGCAACCUGAUGAGAGACCCAGAGUCAGAACUGCUCAGACUAAAGUUGCUCCUGAAUUUCUGACCCGCAGGAACUGUGAGACAACAACUGUUUAUUGUUUUAAGUUGCCAAGUUCUGGGGUAGAUUUGCUUGCAGCAAUAGAUACGAAUGCUGUGUCUAAGUAUUCUGCCAACUCACUGCUGCCAUAGCAAGGCCCAUCAUAACAAGCGAGGCUUGGAUGGAAGCAGCUUUGUCUUCUACCCAGAGAACCAGCAAAAUCCCAACAAUUUACCAAGAUUAGAGAACCAAAAAUACCCAUGGAAACUAUAGUUGUUAAGAAACAUCUGUUUUUGAGCUGUCUAAAUUGGGUAGUUCUCAAAAGGAAUAAAAAUGUAUCAGAGGAUGGGGACAGCUGGGUGGGGACUGAUGCCAACUGCCUGGCAGGCUCAGCUGGUCACUCGGGUUCCUUCUCAGAGCUGAGGCAGGGAGAAAGAUCCAAAUAAAGAUCUGAUGGGGCAGAUUAGACAGAGCUGCCUGUAGCAAGGCACUGAGGGCUGUGUCCAGCUGCAGGGGCAGUACUUAAGCUUACUGCACCCCUACUAUGUGCCAGGUGCAGGGUGGGCACCUGCAUGUGAGGACCAGGGAUUGGGGUGUUGGAAGAUUUUGGCUUUUGGCCAGGACUAAAGGGUGAGAGGUAGUAUGGAGAAGGAAUUAAGGCCCUGUGGAGAGGCCUGGGCUUAAAUCCUGGCAUUGAUGUUUACCAGCUCUGAGGCUUGUACGUGGCCAAUCACUUAAACACUCUGGGCCAGUUUCCUCAACUGUAAAACGGGCAUAGUCACAGUGCCUACUUGAUCCAUCCUUGUGUUCCUCUCAGGCUUGCUUUGUAAGACUCCUGGACUCCUUAGGUUUUAUCAAUCCUGGUGCCCUUCCAUUGUAUCACAUCCUUGGAUCACAGUGAUGGGUUCAGGAAUAGACACAUGACCCAAGGGAGGCUAAUCAGGUGAAUAUAGGGAGAUGUUCUUUCUUUCUUAAGGUGGCUACGUUUAGGACAUGAGCCAGGGUUGCCAGUGUCACCCAUCACAUGUACCAUAUGAAUAACUCUUGUCUAAGAUCUGGCAAGAGAUGGUGGAGCCUAAUGACAUUGUUAAAGAUCCUGGAUACAGCCAUACCUGAAGCGUAUCCAGAAUUCCGGCUGAGUAUCUGUACUAGUCAAUGUUCUCCAAAUAAUAUACACAGGCAUAACUCAGAGAUACUGUAGGUUUGGUUGCAGGCCACCUCAAUAAAACAAAUAUUGCAAUAAAGUGGGUCAUAGGAAUUUUUGAUUUCCCAGUGCACGUAAAAGUUACACUAUAGUGUAUUAAGUGUGCAAUACCAUUACAUCUAAAAACCACUGUACAUACCUUAAUUAAAAAUACUUUAUUGCUAGCAAUCAUCUGAGCCUUCUGCAAAUUGUAAUCUUUUUGCUCGUGGAGGGUCAUGCCUUGAUGUUUAUGGCUGCUGACUCAUUAGGGUGGUGGUUGCUGAAGGUUGGGGUGGCUGUGGCAGUUUCUUAAAAUAUGACAACAAUAAAGUUGGCCACAUUGAUG